rnacentral:lncRNA from 1 species
GUUAGUGCAUGGUGAGAGACAGGGGUGGGGGAGAGAGAGAGAAAAGUACAUUUUAUUCAAUCAAAUCCCUUUUCAUUUAUUCUGUCUUCUUUCUUUUUUUGGACUCAUAAUGAAAAAGGGAAGUCAUUGGUAAUUAACAUCCAGAGAACUCUGCCAUUGGAUCAAACACAGCAUGAAGAUGACAGCAGGCUGCACGAGACAGUGGGAAUGGUGACGGACAGGACAUGAACCAUGUCCCAGCCCAGCCCAGCCCAGCCCAGGCCAGUCCACAUUCAUUAGCCAGUGGCUCUCUCUCCCGGAGCUGCCUGCUGCCUAUCUGCCUGUUUGCUGACUGCUUGUGGAAAAAACCAUUUAGCCUGCUGAAUGUCAAGGACAUGAGCCCUAGGACCAUGCAUCAGGACUACCUGGCUGUCCCCAGUCCACCUGGUCGUGCUGCAGCUCCAGUUUCAACUGUUCUGCCUGUGGCUAUGGAACCCUGACCUGUUCACCGGACGUGCUACCUUGUCCCAGACCUGCUGUUUUCAACUCUCUAGAGACAGCAGGUGCGGUAGAGAUACUCUGAAUUGAUCGGCUAUGAAAAGCCAACUGACAUUCAGUCCUGAGGUGCUGACCUGUUGCACCCUCUACAACCACAGUGAUUAUUAUUAUCUGACCCUGCUGGUCAUCUAUGAACAUUUGAACAUCUUGGCCAUGUUCUGUUAUAAUCUCCACCCGGCACAGCCAGAAGAUGACUGGCCACCCCUCAUAGCCUGGUUCCUCUCUAGGUUUCUUCCUAGGUUCCGGCCUUUCUAGGGAGUUUUUCCUAGCCACCGUGC